rnacentral:rRNA from 1 species
CGACGGAUGCUUACCAUGCAGUCGAACGGCAGCACGGACUUCGGUCUGGUGGCGAGUGGCGAACGGGUGAGUAAUGUAUCGGAACGUGCCCAGUAGCGGGGGAUAACUACGCGAAAGCGUAGCUAAUACCGCAUACGCCCUACGGGGGAAAGCAGGGGAUCGCAAGACCUUGCACUAUUGGAGCGGCCGAUAUCGGAUUAGCUAGUUGGUGGGGUAACGGCUCACCAAGGCGACGAUCCGUAGCUGGUUUGAGAGGACGACCAGCCACACUGGGACUGAGACACGGCCCAGACUCCUACGGGAGGCAGCAGUGGGGAAUUUUGGACAAUGGGGGAAACCCUGAUCCAGCCAUCCCGCGUGUGCGAUGAAGGCCUUCGGGUUGUAAAGCACUUUUGGCAGGAAAGAAACGUCGCGGGUUAAUACCCCGCGAAACUGACGGUACCUGCAGAAUAAGCACCGGCUAACUACGUGCCAGCAGCCGCGGUAAUACGUAGGGUGCAAGCGUUAAUCGGAAUUACUGGGCGUAAAGCGUGCGCAGGCGGUUCGGAAAGAAAGAUGUGAAAUCCCAGAGCUUAACUUUGGAACUGCAUUUUUAACUACCGGGCUAGAGUGUGUCAGAGGGAGGUGGAAUUCCGCGUGUAGCAGUGAAAUGCGUAGAUAUGCGGAGGAACACCGAUGGCGAAAGCAGCCUCCUGGGAUAACACUGACGCUCAUGCACGAAAGCGUGGAGGAGCAAACAGGAUUAGAUACCCUGGUAGUCCACGCCCUAGACGAUGUCAACUAGCUGUUGGGGUCGUUCAGGACCUUGGUAGCGCAGCUA